CCUGGCUCACGAUGAACGCUAGCUACAGGCUUAACACAUGCAAGUCGAGGGGCAGCAUUUUAGUUUGCUUGCAAACUGAAGAUGGCGACCGGCGCACGGGUGAGUAACACGUAUCCAACCUGCCGAUAACUCCGGAAUAGCCUUUCGAAAGAAAGAUUAAUACCGGAUGGCAUACGAAUAUCGCAUGAUAUUUUUAUUAAAGAAUUUCGGUUAUCGAUGGGGAUGCGUUCCAUUAGUUUGUUGGCGGGGUAACGGCCCACCAAGACAACGAUGGAUAGGGGUUCUGAGAGGAAGGUCCCCCACAUUGGAACUGAGACACGGUCCAAACUCCUACGGGAGGCAGCAGUGAGGAAUAUUGGUCAAUGGGCGAGAGCCUGAACCAGCCAAGUAGCGUGAAGGAUGAAGGCUCUAUGGGUCGUAAACUUCUUUUAUAUGGGAAUAAAGUAUUCCACGUGUGGAAUUUUGUAUGUACCAUAUGAAUAAGGAUCGGCUAACUCCGUGCCAGCAGCCGCGGUAAUACGGAGGAUCCGAGCGUUAUCCGGAUUUAUUGGGUUUAAAGGGAGCGUAGGUGGAUUGUUAAGUCAGUUGUGAAAGUUUGCGGCUCAACCGUAAAAUUGCAGUUGAAACUGGCAGUCUUGAGUACAGUAGAGGUGGGCGGAAUUCGUGGUGUAGCGGUGAAAUGCUUAGAUAUCACGAAGAACUCCGAUUGCGAAGGCAGCUCACUAGACUGUCACUGACACUGAUGCUCGAAAGUGUGGGUAUCAAACAGGAUUAGAUACCCUGGUAGUCCACACAGUAAACGAUGAAUACUCGCUGUUUGCGAUAUACAGUAAGCGGCCAAGCGAAAGCAUUAAGUAUUCCACCUGGGGAGUACGCCGGCAACGGUGAAACUCAAAGGAAUUGACGGGGGCUCGCACAAGCGGAGGAACAUGUGGUUUAAUUCGAUGAUACGCGAGGAACCUUACCCGGGCUUAAAUUGCAACAGAAUAUAUUGGAAACAGUAUAGCCGUAAGGCUGUUGUGAAGGUGCUGCAUGGUUGUCGUCAGCUCGUGCCGUGAGGUGUCGGCUUAAGUGCCAUAACGAGCGCAACCCUUAUCUUUAGUUACUAACAGGUCAUGCUGAGGACUCUAGAGAGACUGCCGUCGUAAGAUGUGAGGAAGGUGGGGAUGACGUCAAAUCAGCACGGCCCUUACGUCCGGGGCUACACACGUGUUACAAUGGGGGGUACAGAAGGCGGCUACCUGGUGACAGGAUGCUAAUCCCAAAAACCUCUCUCAGUUCGGAUCGAAGUCUGCAACCCGACUUCGUGAAGCUGGAUUCGCUAGUAAUCGCGCAUCAGCCAUGGCGCGGUGAAUACGUUCCCGGGCCUUGUACACAACGCCC
rnacentral:rRNA from 1 species